GCCUCGCUGGCUCAGUUGGUAGAGCAUGUGACUCUUGAUCUCAGGGUUGUGAGUUCCAACCCCACACUGGGUG
rnacentral:tRNA from 1 species